GGCGGGAUGAGUAAUGCCUAUGGAAUCUGCCUGGUAGUGGGGGACUACGUUUCGAAAGGAACGCUAAUACCGCAUACGUCCUACGGGAGAAAGUGGGGGAUCUUCGGACCUCACGCUAUCAGAUGAGCCUAGGUCGGAUUAGCUAGUUGGUGAGGUAAAGGCUCACCAAGGCGACGAUCCGUAACUGGUCUGAGAGGAUGAUCAGUCACACUGGAACUGAGACACGGUCCAGACUCCUACGGGAGGCAGCAGUGGGGAAUAUUGGACAAUGGGCGAAAGCCUGAUCCAGCCAUGCCGCGUGUGUGAAGAAGGUCUUCGGAUUGUAAAGCACUUUAAGUUGGGAGGAAGGGCAGUAAGUUAAUACCUUGCUGUUUUGACGUUACCAACAGAAUAAGCACCGGCUAACUUCGUGCCAGCAGCCGCGGUAAUACGAAGGGUGCAAGCGUUAAUCGGAAUUACUGGGCGUAAAGCGCGCGUAGGUGGUUCGUUAAGUUGGAUGUGAAAGCCCCGGGCUCAACCUGGGAACUGCAUCCAAAACUGCGAGCUAGAGUAUGGCAGAGGGUGGUGGAAUUUCCUGUGUAGCGGUGAAAU
rnacentral:rRNA from 2 species